rnacentral:rRNA from 1 species
UGGGGAAUAUUGCACAAUGGGCGAAAGCCUGAUGCAGCCAUGCCGCGUGUAUGAAGAAGGCCUUCGGGUUGUAAAGUACUUUCAGUUGUGAGGAAGGGGGUAGUGUUAAUAGCGCUAUCUCUUGACGUUAGCAACAGAAGAAGCACCGGCUAACUCCGUGCCAGCAGCCGCGGUAAUACGGAGGGUGCGAGCGUUAAUCGGAAUUACUGGGCGUAAA